rnacentral:rRNA from 1 species
UACGUAGGUGGCGAGCGUUGUCCGGAUUUACUGGGCGUAAAGAGCGCGCAGGCGGUCGUGCAAGUCCCAUGUGAAAGCCCACGGCUUAACCGUGGAAGUGCAUGGGAAACUGCAGUGCUUGAGUACUUAAGAGGAUCGCGGAAUUCCCGGUGUAGAGGUGAAAUUCGUAGAUAUCGGGAGGAACACCAGUGGCGAAGGCGGCGAUCUGGGAAGAUACGUGACGCUGAGGUGCGAAAGCGUGGGGAGCAAACAGGG